rnacentral:snRNA from 1 species
AUCGCUUCUCAGCCUUUUGGCUAAGAUCAUGUGUAGUAUCUGUUCUUAUCAGUUUAAUAUCUGAUACGUCCUCUAUUUGAGGACUAUAUAUUGAAUAUUUGCUCUUGCAUACUAAAAGCGUUCUGGCUCAAGACUUCUGCUGCCCAAAACAGUUCAAAGAGAAAAAAGCCAAAUCCUUGUGUUCAGAGCUGAGUUA